rnacentral:rRNA from 1 species
AUACGGAGGUUGCGAGCGUUGUUCGGAUUUACUGGGCGUAAAGGGCGUGUAGGCGGGUGCGCAAGCCGGAGGUGAAAGCCCCAGGCUCAACCUGGGAAGCUCUUCCGGAACUGCGCGCCUAGAGAUGGUCAGAGGCAGGUGGAAUUCCUGGUGUAGAGGUGAAAUUCGUAGAGAUCAGGAGGAACACCGGUGGCGAAGGCGGCCUGCUGGGGCCAAUCUGACGCUGAGGCGCGACAGCGUGGGGAGCAAACAGGAUUAGAUACCCCAGUAGUCC